ACUUACUGGGCCCCCAUCCAAACACAUUCUAGUCCAGGCACACGUGCCUGCAAAGGGCAUGCAGCCCAGGUGGGGCAGGGCCAUAGAGAAACCACAAUUAAUGUCAUUAUUCACGGCUUUUCAGGGAGGUGAUAAGAGGUAUACUCCCUUUGAAGCUGGCAGACCAUUCAUCCUGUCCCAGCAGCCUACACACUGAAGGUGGGAUUUGUAGCAGCUGUUUCAUUUUUGUUGCCUGUUCUGCCAUUCUUUCUCCCACAGAGGAGUAAGAAAGAAUAAAACGGAGGGGAGAAAAAUUGCUCAUAUUAUCUCUUCCACCUAGCAAGCACAGAAACAUGCGUCACUGCUGAUCCCUUGAAAGUGGCUGAGGUUACGGUGUGGGAGAUGAACAUGAAAUUUAACUACAAGAUGAAGCUCCUUAAAAGAAAGCCAGAGGGAGCUGAAUGAAAACAGUUAGCACCAGAGUUGAUAAAAAUCCUCAUCUGACCUUUGGGGGAACUCCUGGGCUCACAAUCUAUAGCCAAUAAGCUACAGGUGACCAUAAUGAGCUGAUACUGCAACAGAAGGAAGAAAUCUGAAUUUGAAACCACACAAGCGUAGAUGAAAAGCAUAUUUCUCUCAAGACAUGACCUGGGAAAAAUAGUCCAGUUUUCCAAACGCAAAUGGCCUUUGUCUUCAUUAUCAUAAUGGGGCCCCAUACCUGGGCCUCUCCUCUGCACAUCAGAUCAGAAGAGGAGUGGGCGAAGGACAUCAGGAAAGAGGCCUUAUUGGAAAUCCCCUCUUCAAAACCCCUGACAAAGGGGCAUCUCACCUCUGCUGGAACACAAUUCAAGAUAAGACUCCUACCUCUUGAGGGAACCCCCCCCACCAGUCCACAUUUGAAUGGAUCCUAUUAUUAGUUCUUCCUGUGUACUGAGUAAUGUAUCUGAUAUUUUCCCUUCAGAAAUAAUAAAACAAAGGGAAUACAGGAAUGCAAAUGAAAUAGAGUCAUUAAUAAUGUAAAUGUGAUGUUCCAACUAUUAUUGCCAAGCUCACAGGAGGGUUCGGUAAUUGUUUAUCUUCCUCCCUUCCACCCCCAGCCCACCUCCUGUCUUUCCCUUCUUUCCUCGGUAAUGGCAUGGCAAGAGGAUACAUUUUGUUGUUCUGUUAAAUUAUACAUUUCUAGGACAUCAGGGAUGGUGUUGUCUAAUUGACUUUGGUCCACACCUGCUACAACUUAGGCGUAUGCGAGCAUUAAUGACUUUUUCCCAUAGAGAAGAAGGAGGACAACUGGUGACAGAAGAAACCACUCAUAGACCCACCGCUGGAUUAUAAGCAUGCUGGGUGCUUAAUGAGUUGCUGAAUAAUAUAAUACUGCUUUAGUUCUUUAGCUGCCUCAUGAUUAAAUGCUAUAAAUAUUUAUGAUUUAUUACUGAUGCUUUGGAUAGGAUAGGCUUUGGAAGACUCAUAGAUCACAGUGAUUCUAAAGGAAAAUAAGAAAAUAAAACUAUAUAAAGCUGCUUAUUUAUAAUGCUGCUCAAAUGGGUUACGCAAUUUUUCAGAAGCAGACGGAGGUAAAGCUAUUCAGCAGCCAUGCCAUUUAAAUGGUUUUUUCUAUAAUUGGUAAUAUAUUUCUCAUAAGAGUAUAUGUAUAACAAGUGGGCGUUAUGGUUAUCACUUUCUACUAAGAACCCACU